rnacentral:tRNA from 1 species
GAGCCGUUAGCUCAGUUGGCAGAGCACUGGAUUUUUAAUCCAGGUGUCCCGGGUUCGAGCCCCGGACGGCUCACCA